AGAGUUUGAUCCUGGCUCAGAACGAACGGUGGCGGCGUGGAUAAGACAUGCAAGUCGAACGGGAUACUUAUUGUAGCAAUACAAUGAGUGUUCAGUGGCGCAAGGGUGCGUAACACGUGGGCAAUCUGCCCGGGAGCGCGGGAUAGCUUGGCGAAAGCCAAAUUAAUACCGCAUGUGGCUAUUGGAGGAUUCUCCGAGACGCUAAAGAUGGCGCAAGCUAUCACUCCUGGAUGAGCCCGCGGCCUAUCAGCUAGUUGGUGAGGUAACGGCUCACCAAGGCUAUGACGGGUAGCUGGUCUGAGAGGACGACCAGCCACACUGGAACUGAGACACGGUCCAGACACCUACGGGUGGCAGCAGUCGAGAAUUUUUCUCAAUGGGGGAAACCCUGAAGGAGCGACGCCGCGUGGAGGAUGAAGGUUUUCGGAUUGUAAACUCCUGUCAUUUGGGAACAAACCUUUCAUUUAACUGAUGAAAGACUGAUAGUACCAGAAGAGGAAGAGACGGCUAACUCUGUGCCAGCAGCCGCGGUAAUACAGAGGUCUCAACCGUUGUUCGGAUUCAUUGGGCGUAAAGGGUGCGUAGGCGGUCGCGCAAGUCGGAUGUGAAAUCUCGAGGCUCAACCUCGAAACUGCAUUCGAUACUGCGUGGCUAGAGUGCUGGAGGGGAGACUGGAAUUUACGGUGUAGCAGUGAAAUGCGUAGAUAUCGUAAGGAAGACCAGUGGCGAAUGCGAGUCUCUGGACAGCAACUGACGCUGAGGCACG
rnacentral:rRNA from 1 species